GAUGAACGCUAGCGACAGGCCUAACACAUGCAAGUCGAGGGGUAUAAGUAGCUUGCUACUUAGAGACCGGCGCACGGGUGAGUAACGCGUAUGCAACCUACCUUUUACUGGGGGAUAGCCCAAAGAAAUUUGGAUUAAUACCGCAUAACAAUUAAGAAUCGCAUGGUUUUUAAUUUAAAGCUUCGGCGGUAAAAGAUGGGCAUGCGUAGCAUUAGUUAGUUGGUGAGGUAACGGCUCACCAAGACUAUGAUGCUUAGGGGGUCUGAGAGGAUAGUCCCCCACACUGGUACUGAGACACGGACCAGACUCCUACGGGAGGCAGCAGUGAGGAAUAUUGGUCAAUGGGCGCAAGCCUGAACCAGCCAUGUCGCGUGCAGGAUGACGGCCCUAUGGGUUGUAAACUGCUUUUUUACAGGAAUAAACUUUGUUACGUGUAACAAACUAGAAGGUACUGUAAGAAUAAGGAUCGGCUAACUCCGUGCCAGCAGCCGCGGUAAAGUCAC
rnacentral:rRNA from 1 species